rnacentral:rRNA from 1 species
GACGAACGCUGGCGGCGUGCUUAACACAUGCAAGUCGAACGGAAAGGCCCUGCUUUUGUGGGGUGCUCGAGUGGCGAACGGGUGAGUAACACGUGAGUAACCUGCCCUUGACUUUGGGAUAACUUCAGGAAACUGGGGCUAAUACCGGAUAGGAGCUCCUGCUUCAUGGUGGGGGUUGGAAAGUUUCGGCGGUUGGGGAUGUACUCGCGGCUUAUCAGCUUGUUGGUGGGGUAGUGGCUUACCAAGGCUUUGAAGGGUAGCCGGCCUGAGAGGGUGACCGGCCACAUUGGGACUGAGAUACGGGCCAGACUACUACGGGAGGCAGCAGUGGGGAAUAUUGCACAAUGGGCGGAAGCCUGAUGCAGCAACGCCGCGUGCGGGAUGACGGCCUUCGGGUUGUAAACCGCUUUCGCCUGUGACGAAGCGUGAGUGACGGUAAUGGGUAAAGAAGCACCGGCUAACUACGUG